rnacentral:misc_RNA from 1 species
UUUUUUUUUUUUUUUUCCUAUUUAUUCAUACAGGAACAAUAUAAAUACUUAAUUUUUAAUAUAAAUAAUUUAUUUUUGGACCCUACCCUGUCAUUUUCAGUUGAAGAUCAUAGCCAAUCAGGAUGCAUCAUUGUCAUUUCUCAAUUUUAUGUGGUUCUGGCAACAAAAUACUGCAUUUAUUUCUCUGUCUCUCUCUGGUUUAUUUAAAUUUUUUAGAUGGAAUCAGGCUUUCAAGAAUAUAAAACUAAUUCUUGUCAAAUCUCAAUGUUAAUUUGUGUCAGUUAGUGAAUUGAUUUCUGCUUCAUUUGAUAUGAGUUGAACAAAGAAUUCUAGAAUUAAAUGAACUUGGAACUUGGAACCAAGUUUUUGAAGUCUAAAUAAUGACUCGAAAGAAUUUGAAGUCACAUAAUGAGAAAAAAAUCUGGUUUAUUAUUUCUUUUUUUCUUCUGUUAGGUUGUUGUUUGGCCCAAUUUUGCUUCUGGAUUGCUGGAAAUUGUAUAUCUUCACAUAUACCAGCAUUUUAGCCUUUGUCUGAAUAUAUAUCCUAGCUUUUAAAUAUUGGUAUUCCUAGCUUCCAGGUUUCUUACAGGAUUAUAUCAAAAGAUUGUAAAUGUAUAAUAUGGCCAUGUAGGUGGGAUCUGUGUAUGAUGGGUGCCACAUGUCAGAUGUGUCUUAAAUUAGUAAUUUCCAUUUCAUAGAAGUUAAGUGACAAUGUUUAUGAUUUGGAUGCUGUGAUCUGGAGCCAAUGGACUGGAACACUACUAUGAUGGACGUAGUCUUGCUAAUGUCUAAAUGUCUUUACUCUUUAGUGGGGCUGAAAAGUGCUUGUUUUCGUAAUUCAAGAUUUAUUCUUCUGCAAUUUUGUUACUUUUCUUUUAACUAAUGUUAUUUUUAUCAAAAGUGCUAUAUUUUUUUCAUAUAGAUUAAAAAUUGUUCUCUUCAUAAAUAUGCUCUUUAUGUUUCUCUGGGUGAAUGUUUAUAGGGUUGACCUUCACCAUCAGGCAG